UGAGUGCUGACUUGCGUCCGCCAGGACCGCCACCAACCCAGGCCAGCCUCCCCAUCUCCAGCCUUCACACUCCCCCACCCACCCCCGCCAGCAGACCACCAACCCCAGUCCCCGGCGGCGGCCAUUGCCGAUUGCCCGCAUCCGCAUCCACGCACACUGCGGGAGGGAGCCAGCCGGUAGCCUGCCCUGCCCAGGAUCGGAGAUGACGCUGUUGUGCGUGCCGCUGGUGGCGCGGACGGUGGAGGAGAUGGUGGCCGACGCGGCGGCCGCCGCGGCCGCGGGCGCCGACCUCGUCGAGAUCCGACUCGACUUCAUCCAGGAGUUCCGCCCCCGCGAGCACCUUCCGCAACUGCUACGCGGCUGCACACUCCCGGCCCUCGUCACCUACCGACCUACCUGGGAAGGAGGCCAAUAUGAAGGUGAUGACACCACAAGAUUCGACACACUACGUUUAGCAAUGGAACUAGGUGUAGACUAUGUUGAUGUUGAACUGAAGGUCGCCGACAAAUUCAUGAGCUUUAUUUCUGGCAAUAAGCCAGACAAAUGUAAACUUAUUGUUUCUUCGCAUAAUUAUGAACAUACUCCGUCCUGUGAGGAGCUUGCAAAUCUUGUGGCUAGAAUACAAGCAGUUGGAGCUGACAUAGUGAAAGUUGCAACAACUGCUAAGGAUAUUGUCGAUGUAUCACGGAUGUUCCAAGUGAUGGUUCACUGCCAAGUGCCUAUGAUUGGACUCGUAAUGAGUGAAAGAGGUUUAAUGUCACGGGUGUUAGCGUCAAAGUUUGGUGGAUAUCUUACAUUUGGGAUACUAAAUUCUGCAAAAACAUCAGCACCUGGACAACCAACAGUUGAAGAAUUACUGGAUGUUUACAAUAUAAGGUGCAUAGGACCUGAUACAAAGGUUCUUGGUCUUAUAGCCAACCCAGUAAAGCAGAGCAAGAGCCCAAUUCUGCACAAUAAAUGCCUUCAAUACGUUGGAUAUAAUGCUGUUUAUCUUCCACUUCUUGGAGAUAAUCUUGCUAGUUUUCUCGAGACAUAUUCAUCUCCAGACUUUUCAGGAUUUAGUUGCUCUCUUCCUUUCAAAGUGGAUGCUGUACAGUGCUGCAAUGAACAUGAUCCAGUUGCUCAGUCAAUAGGAGCAAUUAACACUAUAAUUAGAAGACCUGAUGGCAAAUUAGUGGGGUACAAUACAGACUACAUUGGAGCAAUAUCUGCUAUUGAGGAUGGUAUUGGAGGUCCAGGGUCCAAGGAUGCUGCCAUCUCACCGUUGGCUGGUAGGCUUAUUGUUGUUGUAGGUGCUGGAGGUGCUGGUAAGGCAAUUGCUUAUGGGGCCAAGGAGAAGGGUGCAAGGGUAGUUGUAGCAAAUCGUACCUAUGAAAAGGCAGUAAGUCUUGCCAAUGCAAUUGGAGGUCAGGCCCUGAGAUUAGCAGACCUGGAAACUUUCAGGCCUGAAGAAGGGAUGAUCCUUGCCAAUGCAACAUCAUUGGGGAUGCAACCAAAUAUUGAUGGGACUCCUAUUCCAAAGAAAGCACUGAGUUUCUACGAUGUGGUAUUCGAUGCUGUAUAUGCCCCAAAGGUUACUCGGCUUCUACGAGAAGCAGAAGAAUGUGGUGUUAAAGUUGUUAGUGGUGUGGAAAUGUUUAUUAGACAAGCCAUGGGUCAAUUUGAACAUUUCACCGGUGGUAUAGAAGCUCCUGAAAGUCUAAUGCGGGAAAUAGCAGCGAAAUACACCUAGAAGGUUCUUUUAAGUAUUACCAUUUCAUUUCAAUCUUGCAAUCAUUGAGGGUUAAAUACUUAACAUGUUAAUGGUGAAAAAAAAAAAACGGCUUAUGAUAAAUAUUCGCCCCAACUUUUCCAGGGCUGAGUGAUAAAAUGUUUUGAGAUAACUGCCCAGUUUUGCACUCAUGGAAGACUUCGCUGUUGUAUUGUUAAAUUUCGCAGACUUGUCUGCACAUGGAAGAUUACAUUGACAUGAUAUAUAGUGUUCAUUCUUGUUUGCAAUAGAGGAAUUGCAAAAAUAAAGCGUCAGUUUGGAACCUACAUUACGAUGACCCAGGAAUAAAAUAUGCAUCAAGCAAUGAUUCAGUUGGCUUCAUGCUGAUCAUGUAAGAGCUACUAAUAUUGACUUGCUUGCUCAGUUUGGCAUCGCUAGUGGUUA